CCUCUUUAUCAUUAUCACAUUCUCUGUAGCCUUUUUUCAGAGAUUUUUCAACAUCUUCAUACCUUAUGAUAAAUCAAGAUAGGUGAAAUGUUGGUUCGUGCAGUUAAUUAACUCCCAAUUUCCAGAUCAAUGAUUGUCAAAAGUUAAAUUUAAAAAAUAAAUAAACAAAGAGGAAAAAAAUAGUAGAAAAAAAGAAGACGAGAGUUGUAAAAUCCAUUAUGUUCACUGUACAAUUAGAAUUUACAAAAUGAAAGGUAAAACACUAUAUACAUUGUUUCCCUUUUCAUCAUCAUCAUAUAUAAUUUAAACUCAGCUGAGUUAACCACCGAGUCAAGGAAUGAGUAUCUAAAUAACUCAGCCCAGUCCCCAGCAAUUUAAGUACAUGACUUUGCGGAGAGAAUCUUCAGUUUCUUGUUGUCCCCGCCGUGUACCACAGUCUCCUCCAGCGGAGAUAAACCUUAUGCGGUGGUCGGUGUGGACUUGCGCCACCGCCAACGUCGUUGCCACCCAAAUACGGAUCGAGUAACCCAUUAAAAUUGUUAUUGUUAGAGAAAAGCGUUGUUUUCGGUGCUGUGUCUGUCUUCUCUGUGUUUAUAUAUAAAGAGAGAAAAUAAAGGAAACCAGAGGCUAUGAUAAAAGGUGGUUUUUCUAUUAAUACAAAAAAAGUGGAUAAUGAAUACAGCUAAGGAAACAGUGGUUUUGGUGGGUCCCAUUAUUUUGUUUAUUUCGAUUUGGAUAUGUUUGAUGAUGAUGCAUCCAUCCCUCAAGUU
rnacentral:lncRNA from 1 species